AGAGUUUGAUCCUGGCUCAGGAUGAACGCUAGCGACAGGCUUAACACAUGCAAGUCGAGGGGUAUCCCGCUUUCGGGCGGGAGAGACCGGCGCACGGGUGCGAAACGCGUAUGCAACCUACCUUAUACUGGGGGAUAGCCCAGAGAAAUUUGGAUUAAUACCGCAUAACAUAUUUGAAUGGCAUCAUUUGAUAAUUAAAGAUGAGGCGGUACAAGAUGAGCAUGCGCCCUAUUAGUUAGUUGGUAAGGUAACGGCUUACCAAGGCAACGAUGGGUAGGGGUUCUGAGAGGAAGAUCCCCCACACUGGUACUGAGACACGGACCAGACUCCUACGGGAGGCAGCAGUAGGGAAUAUUGGACAAUGGGCGCAAGCCUGAUCCAGCCAUGCCGCGUGCAGGACGAAGGCCCUAUGGGUUGUAAACUGCUUUUUUACAGGAAAAAACACUCCCUCGUGAGGGAGCUUGACGGUACUGUAAGAAUAAGGACCGGCUAACUCCGUGCCAGCAGCCGCGGUAAUACGGAGGGUCCAAGCGUUAUCCGGAAUCAUUGGGUUUAAAGGGUUCGUAGGCGGAUUAAUAAGUCAGAGGUGAAAUCCCACAGCUCAACUGUGGAACUGCCUUUGAUACUGUUAGUCUUGAAUUAUGUGGAAGUAGAUAGAAUGUGUAGUGUAGCGGUGAAAUGCUUAGAGAUUACACAGAAUACCGAUUGCGAAGGCAGUCUACUACGUAUAUAUUGACGCUAAUGAACGAAAGCGUGGGGAGCGAACAGGAUUAGAUACCCUGGUAGUCCACGCCGUAAACGAUGGACACUCGUUGUUGGGCAUUUAUGUUCAGUGACUAAGCGAAAGUGAUAAGUGUCCCACCUGGGGAGUACGGUCGCAAGAUUGAAACUCAAAGGAAUUGACGGGGGCCCGCACAAGCGGUGGAGCAUGUGGUUUAAUUCGAUGAUACGCGAGGAACCUUACCAGGGCUUAAAUGUAGGAUGCAUGAUUUAGAGAUAGUUUUUUCCUUCGGGACUCUUUACAAGGUGCUGCAUGGUUGUCGUCAGCUCGUGCCGUGAGGUGUCGGGUUAAGUCCCAUAACGAGCGCAACCCCUAUCGUUAGUUGCCAGCGAGUCAAGUCGGGGACUCUAACGAGACUGCCGGUGUAAGUAGUGAGGAAGGUGGGGAUGACGUCAAAUCAGCACGGCCCUUACGUCCAGGGCUACACACGUGCUACAAUGGUCGAUACAGAGGGCAGCUACUUGGUGACAGGAUGCAAAUCUCGAAAAUCGAUCUCAGUUCGGAUCGAAGUCUGCAACUCGACUUCGUGAAGUUGGAUUCGCUAGUAAUCGCAUAUCAGCCAUGAUGCGGUGAAUACGUUCCCGGGCCUUGUACACACCGCCCGUCAAGCCAUGGAAGCUGGGAGUACCUAAAGUUCGUCACCGCAAGGAGCGACCUAAGGUAAAAAACUAGUAACUGGGGCUAAGUCGUAACAAGGUAACC
rnacentral:rRNA from 1 species